AAGAAACCAACAGGGAUUGCCCUAGUAACGGCGAGUGAAGCGGCAACAGCUCAAAUUUGAAAUCUGGCCCUCGGGUCCGAGUUGUAAUUUGUAGAGGAUGCUUUUGGUGCGGUGCCUUCCGAGUUCCCUGGAACGGGACGCCAUAGAGGGUGAGAGCCCCGUCUGGUUGGACGCCAAUCCUAUGUAAAGCUCCUUCGACGAGUCGAGUAGUUUGGGAAUGCUGCUCUAAAUGGGAGGUAUAUGUCUUCUAAAGCUAAAUAUUGGCCAGAGACCGAUAGCGCACAAGUAGAGUGAUCGAAAGAUGAAAAGCACUUUGAAAAGAGAGUUAAAAAGCACGUGAAAUUGUUGAAAGGGAAGCGCUUAUGACCAGACUUGGGCUUGGUUGAUCAUCCGGCGUUCUCGCCGGUGCACUCUUCCGGUCCAGGCCAGCAUCAGUUUGCUCCGGGGGAUAAAGGCUUUGGGAAUGUGGCUCCCUCGGGAGUGUUAUAGCCCAUUGUGUAAUACCCUGGAGCGGACUGAGGUACGCGUUCUGCAAGGAUGCUGGCGUAAUGGUCAUCAGUGACCCGUCUUGAAACACGGACCAAGGAGUCGUCUUCGUAUGCGAGUGUUCGGGUGUCAAACCCCUACGCGUAAUGAAAGUGAACGCAGGUGAGAGCUUCGGCGCAUCAUCGACCGAUCCUGAUGUUCUCGGAUGGAUUUGAGUAAGAAGCAUACGGGGCCGGACCCGAAAGAAGGUGAACUAUGCCUGUGUAGGGUGAAGCCAGAGGAAACUCUGGUGGAGGCUCGCAGCGGU
rnacentral:rRNA from 1 species